rnacentral:misc_RNA from 1 species
AAAAGUAUUUCACUGUGAUCUGGUGCAAAGUGUUUACUUUUUCAAAUUUGAGCAGAACAGGUCUGCAAGUUUGCUACUUUCCCUAGUAUGCUAACUAGUUUGCUAACAGACUCAUGUCUGCACAAUAUCGUAAAAAAUGAUAAAUAAUGGCUAGUUUUCUAAAAUUUAAAUUUAUAACAUUCAAAUGGGGUUUCAAACUGUUAGAAAUAGUUUGAGACUC